UUUUGGACAAUAGCAGAAAGCCUUAUCCAGCAAUGCCGCGUGUGGGAAGAAGGCCUUCGGGUGGUAAGCCACUUUGCUUUGGAACGAAACGGUCUGCUUUACUGCAAUGGAAUAAUGAGUGUCCCCUAAGAAUAAACCCCCCCUAUAUACGUCCCCGCACCCGCGGUAAUAUGUAGGGCGCGAGCUUUCAUCGGAAUUUCUGGGUGUAAAGCUUGCGCAGGGGGUUAUAUAAGACAGUUUUAAAAUCCCCGGUCUCACCCUGGGAAUCGCAUCUUUGACUGUAUAGCUAGAUUCCGGUAGAGGGGGAGGGAAUUCCGCGGGUAGCAGUAAAAUGGGUAGAUAUGCGGAGGAACCCGAUGGGAAAGGCAAUCUCCGACCUUACUACGCUCAACACAA
rnacentral:rRNA from 1 species